AUGUACGCCUCCGCACGCGGUUCGCAGCCACACGUCUGCCCCGUUUCUCCCACUCCUACAGUCCAUCACUCUACUGUAUCGCUACCACGCUCACCUUGCAUCACCAGCGCCCGAUUCAGCAGAUAUAGGAACCACACCGCGCGCUCCUGCCGGAGGGGCACCGGAGCAUCGGACAUGUCGGCCUCCGGCGACAGGUGCUGCCCAAUCUGCAACAGGGAUGGUGGUCGCCGGCGAGUGGAGCAUGGAGACGUCAUGCUGGGGGUUGGAGGGAGCAAGAGGGAAGAGGUAGCCAUCGACGCCUUGCUUGUGGAUGGAGUAGCUCGUCGGAGCAGCACCACCUCCCACGUGCUACCCAUCGGGGCUAGUGGAUUCAGAGAAGUGCAUGGUGGGCGUGGUGGAGGACAGCCGUGGGGGCUCGCCGGCGAAGGAGAACAGGUGAAGGCUGGGAGGUCCGCGCACCGGAGCCAGGGGCGGCGGUGGUUGUCCUGGCGGGGUGGGGGGAGGCGCUGUAUCGGGGGGGUUGAGAUCUGGGUGGGGAAGUGGUGGGCGUGGGUGUUGCUUUUUUUCUUCUACAAGUUCGGGAAGUUCAGGAGGGAGCUGCCGGGCCCUUAUAGGCGACUGGACUGGAUCCCGCCGCCACUACCGGCCUCCUUUCGGCCACUGCGGCCGGCCUCCCUCCCCCGCCGCGCCAGGCCUCCCUCUCCCGCCUCGCCGGUCCUCCAUCCCCCGCUGCUGGGGCCAGCCUCCUCCCGCCAGGGCGCCCAACCUCCCUCCCUCCGGCCACCGCGUCCGGCCUCAUCUGGUCGCCAAGCUCAGCCUCCCACGAACCUUCGCCGGAUCCGCCACGAGCUGCCCUCCCUGGAACCCCCGCCGAGUGCCAACUCUCCUGCUGCUGACGCACCUACUCCUCUGUCGCCGACCCGCCUCCACCCCCAACUGCCGCUCGGGUGCCUCCAUCCCCAAUCUCCUACGGGGCCGCCUCCUUCCCCCAACCGCCGCUGGGGCGCCUCCUCCCCAGCCUCCACCGAAGAUUCCUCCUCCCCCGUGCUGUCGUCGGGCCCUGGAUCCCAUGCGCUGUCGCGGCCUCCCGAGGCCACAACCGUCGGGCGGGUGGUGCAGCACCGGAGUGCCGUCGAGCACAGCCGUAGACUCCCUGGACUCACGUCCACGGCCAUGCCACCACCCCCAACAUGGGCGCGCAGGACUCGGCCGUCUCGACCGCGGCCGUCGCCCCAUUCCGACCUCAGCCGAACACAACGGCUGGCCCAACCCCACCAUGCCUCUCCUCUUGUCGCGGCAGGCUCCGGCGCGCUGCAGUUCAUGAUGCCCUGA
rnacentral:rRNA from 1 species